rnacentral:rRNA from 1 species
AGUGAACGCUGGCGGUAGGCCUAACACAUGCAAGUCGAACGGCAGCACAGUAAGAGCUUGCUCUUACGGGCGGCGAGUGGCGUACGGGUGAGGAAUACAUCGGAAUCUACUUUUUCGUGGGUGGUCACGUAGGGAAACUUACGCUAAUACCGCAUACGACCUACGGGCGAAAGCAGGGGAUCUUCGGACCUUCCGCGAGUGAAUGAGCCGAUGUCGGAUUAGCGAGUUGGCGGGGUAAAGGCCCACCAGGGCGCCGAUCCGUAGCUGGUCUGAGAGGAUGACCGGCCCCACGGGAAUUGAGGCACGCUCCAGCCGCCUACGGGAAGGACCAGUGCGGAAUAUUGGCCAACUGGCGCCAGCCUGCUCCCGCCGUACCGCGUGGGUGAAGAAGGCCUCCGGGUUGUGGAGCCCUUUUGUUGGGAAAGAAAAGCCGCACGCUCAUACCCCGCUGUUCUGACGGUACCCAAAGAAUAAGCACCGGCUAACUUCGUG